AGCGAACGCUGGCGGCAGGCCUAACACAUGCAAGUCGAACGAAGUCUUCGGACUUAGUGGCGGACGGGUGAGUAACACGUGGGAACGUACCUUUUGGUUCGGAACAACUCAGGGAAACUUGAGCUAAUACCGGAUGAGCCCUUAGGGGGAAAGAUUUAUCGCCGAAAGAGCGGCCCGCGUUAGAUUAGCUAGUUGGUGAGGUAAAGGCUCACCAAGGCUACGAUCUAUAGCUGGUCUGAGAGGAUGAUCAGCCACACUGGGACUGAGACACGGCCCAGCCUCCCACGGGAGGCAGCAGGGGGGAAUCUUGCGCAAUGGGCGAAAGCCUGACGCAGCCAUGCCGCGUGAAUGAUGAAGGUCUUAGGAUUGAAAAAUUCUUUUACCAGGGACGAUAAUGACGGUACCUGGAGAAAAAGCCCCGGCUAACUUCGUCCCAGCAGCCGCCGUAA
rnacentral:rRNA from 1 species